ACAGCUGAGGAAGAAUUUAUUCAGAUUAUGAAGUUUAUGCUUAUUUUAUCUUUUUCUCCAUGUCUUUGUUAGGGGAAGGAUGGGUUGACAAAAGACCCCAUGGACGAGCAAGUGCAUUGUGAUGCUUUCAAGAUGACAUGAUCAAUAACACAACUGGAGGCUAAAGCCACCACCAAAUGGAAGAAAUUCACUAUUUGAUGAUCUUAAGAACAGCCCCCGGACCUCUGGUACUUAAAGAUUGAUCACUAUCAACCAAUCAGAGAAUUGUGCGCAGCUGAUCCCAAUCCUGGGCUGCCCCUCCCUCACCGAGCCUUUAAAAAGGCUCAGCUGAAACCUUUAAAGGAGUUCAGGGUUUCCGGGGCAUGCGCCAUCCUCUCUCCUUGCUUGGCCCAGCAGUAAAUAUUUCUUUGCUCCAAACUCAAGCGUUUUGGUAUUUUUUAGGCCUCACUGUGUGUUAGGCACACAAACUUGCAUUCAGUAACAAUUUUGCUGAAGGCAGCCUAGGGGUCUGAGCCCGCGGCAGUUCAACCCUGGCCAGAGGCAGCAGCCCCUUCCCUGGGUCCCAGCAACCGCAAGAGCUCAGUUCAUUCCAGGGAACUGGGAAAGACUCGCCCGGGCAGGCGCCGGCUGCCCCACGUACGAGGCUGUUUGGAACCAAGAAACUUCCAGCGCUACUGAGGGACCACGUUCCGAGUCACUGCGAGCUGAACUGCCUCUGAGGAGCAAAGAGAAGCUUACGUAUCCUAUGAGAAAUGCUAUUCCCGUGUAAGUGACAAUAAUGAGCAAGGAGGCGGCACAGGGGACUGAACUGAGGGGAAAAAACCCUUACAACUUCUGACUGUGUGGCUAUUGAGUCAACAUCCACAUUAGAAAGCUCAUGCCCUGCUGGGUGUGCUUUGUGAUUCCUGGUACGUGGGACAGAACAGGAAGCUACAUCUGAUGCGGCUAGCAUCGGAGCCAGGGUCUGAAGGAGGAAAACAUUUGGCAGGAGAAGCUGCUGAAGCCCAAAAGGUCAAAAUCAAAACUGGAGCUGAAGGUGAACGGAACACAGGAAGGACAAGUACAGCUGAGAAGGAGGUCAGACCAAGAAAUCAAGCCGCAGAUAUUUACAGCUUGUCUAUAGCACGCCCUUUGCCACCUAUGAAAAAUACACAAGGUGCCAUUCCUGCUAGCAAAGGGGACAGUGGGGGGGAGGCGCGGGAGGGAUGUAAGAAAUUUUUAAUAUUAAAAAAUAACUAAGAAUACUGAGAUCCUCAAUGAUGAAUGCCAAAUAAAGGAGGGCAUAAAUAUAGG